CCUACGGGGUGCAGCAGUGAGGAAUAUUGGUCAAUGGGCGAGAGCCUGAACCAGCCAAGUCGCGUGAAGGAUGACGGCCCUACGGGUUGUAAACUUCUUUUGUCAGGGAGCAAUUGAGUCCACGUGUGGGCUUAGCGAGAGUACCUGAAGAAAAAGCAUCGGCUAACUCCGUGCCAGCAGCCGCGGUAAUACGGAGGAUGCGAGCGUUAUCCGGAUUUAUUGGGUUUAAAGGGUGCGUAGGCGGAAUAUCAAGUCAGCGGUAAAAAUUCGGGGCUCAACCCCGUCGUGCCGUUGAAACUGAUGUUCUUGAGUGGGCGAGAAGUAUGCGGAAUGCGUGGUGUAGCGGUGAAAUGCAUAGAUAUCACGCAGAACCCCGAUUGCGAAGGCAGCCUGCCAAGCCAUGACUGACGCUGAUGCACGAAAGCGUGGGGAGCAAACAGGAUUAGAUACCCCAGUAGUC
rnacentral:rRNA from 1 species